CGUGUAGGCGGUCAGGUAAGUGGAAUGUGAAAUGCCCCGGCUCACCCGGGGGACCGGCAUCCCAAACUGCCUGGCUUGAGUAUGGGAGAGGAUGGAGGAAUUCCUGGUGUAGCGGUGAAAUGCGUAGAUAUCAGGAGGAACACCGGUGGCGAAGGCGUCCAUCUGGCCCAAUACUGACGCUGAGGCGCGAAAGCUAGGGGAGCAAACGG
rnacentral:rRNA from 1 species